AAUCCAUAAUGAGGGUACUUGCAUAGAAUAUUCUUAAACCGUUCAUGUGCCUCAAACUGUAUUUCAUUGUCCCCUUGCUUGAAGGAUGAAAUCUCCUGUCUUAGUCU